rnacentral:rRNA from 1 species
AAUCCAUAGGUUAAUGAGGCGAACCGGGGGAACUGAAACAUCUAAGUACCCCGAGGAAAAGAAAUCAACCGAGAUUCCCCCAGUAGCGGCGAGCGAACGGGGAGGAGCCCAGAGCCUGAAUCAGCAUGUGUGUUAGUGGAAGCGUCUGGAAAGGCGCGCGAUACAGGGUGACAGCCCCGUACACAAAAGCGCAUGUGCUGUGAGCUCGAUGAGUAGGGCGGGACACGUGGUAUCCUGUCUGAAUAUGGGGGGACCAUCCUCCAAGGCUAAAUACUCCUGACUGACCGAUAGUGAACCAGUACCGUGAGGGAAAGGCGAAAAGAACCCCGGCGAGGGGAGUGAAAAAGAACCUGAAACCGUGUACGUACAAGCAGUGGGAGCCCCACCACUAAGCCAGUGGUGAACUCCACAUACGCAUCCUUUGCUGAGGAUACGGUUAACGGAGCGAAAGCGACGUUCAACCUCAAAAGAAGCAGAGGGGGCUUAGUGGUGGGGUGACUGCGUACCUUUUGUAUAAUGGGUCAGCGACUUAUAUUCUGUAGCAAGGUUAACCGAAUAGGGGAGCCGGAGGGAAACCGAGUCUUAAUUGGGCGUUAAGUUGCAGGGUAUAGACCCGAAACCCGGUGAUCUAGCCAUGGGCAGGUUGAAGGUUGGGUAACACUAACUGGAGGACCGAACCGACUAAUGUUGAAAAAUUAGCGGAUGACCUGUGGCUGGGGGUGAAAGGCCAAUCAAACCGGGAGAUAGCUGGUUCUCCCCGAAAGCUAUUUAGGUAGCGCCUCGUGAAUUCAUCUCCGGGGGUAGAGCACUGUUUCGGCUAGGGGGCCAUCCCGGCUUACCAACCCGAUGCAAACUGCGAAUACCGGAGAAUGUUAUCACGGGAGACACACGGCGGGUGCUAACGUCCGUCGUGAAGAGGGAAACAACCCAGACCGCCAGCUAAGGUCCCAGAGUCAUGGUUAAGUGGGAAACGAUGUGGGAAGGCCCAGACAGCCAGGAUGUUGGCUUAGAAGCAGCCAUCAUUUAAAGAAAGCGUAAUAGCUCACUGGUCGAGUCGGCCUGCGCGGAAGAUGUAACGGGGCUAAACCAUGCACCGAAGCUGCGGCAGCGACACUGUGUGUUGUUGGGUAGGGGAGCGUUCUGUAAGCC